rnacentral:rRNA from 1 species
UACGGGGGGAGCAAGCGUUGUUCGGAUUUACUGGGCGUAAAGGGCGCGUAGGCGGUCAGCACAAGUCAGUUGUGAAAUCUCCGGGCUUAACUCGGAAAGGUCAACUGAUACUGUGCGACUAGAGUGCGGAAGGGGCAACUGGAAUUCUCGGUGUAGCGGUGAAAUGCGUAGAUAUCGUAAGGAAGACCAGUGGCGAAGGCGGGUCUCUGGACAGUUCCUGACGCUGAGGCACGAAGGUCAGGGGAGCGAACAGG